GUUGGGUUAAGUCCCGCAACGAGCGCAACCCUUAUCCUUUGUUGCCAGCGAUUAGGUCGGGAACUCAAAGGAGACUGCCAGUGAUAAACUGGAGGAAGGUGGGGAUGACGUCAAGUCAUCAUGGCCCUUACGACCAGGGCUACACACGUGCUACAAUGGCGCAUACAAAGAGAAGCGACCUCGCGAGAGCAAGCGGACCUCAUAAAGUGCGUCGUAGUCCGGAUUGGAGUCUGCAACUCGACUCCAUGAAGUCGGAAUCGCUAGUAAUCGUGGAUCAGAAUGCCACGGUGAAUACGUUCCCGGGCCUUGUACACACCGCCCGUCACACCAUGGGAGUGGGUUGCAAAAGAAGUAGGUAGCUUAACCUUCGGGAGGGCGCUUACCACUUUGUGAUUCAUGACUGGGGUGAAGUCGUAACAAGGUAACCGUAGGGGAACCUGCGGUUGGA
rnacentral:rRNA from 1 species